UACGUAGGGUGCAAGCGUUAAUCGGAAUUACUGGGCGUAAAGCGUGCGCAGGCGGUUUUGUAAGUCUGAUGUGAAAUCCCCGGGCUCAACCUGGGAAUUGCAUUGGAGACUGCAAGGCUAGAAUCUGGCAGAGGGGGGGUAGAAUUCCACGUGUAGCAGUGAAAUGCGUAGAGAUGUGGAGGAACACCGAUGGCGAAGGCAGCCCCCUGGGUCAAGAUUGACGCUCAUGCACGAAAGCGUGGGGAGCAAACAGG
rnacentral:rRNA from 1 species